AUGGCUUCAUCAGGAACCACAUUGAAGUUCUUUUUCGUCUUUGCCGUCUUGGCUGUCAUGGCCUCAGCUCAAGACCUUGGCCUCUCGCCGGCUUCGACUCCGGCUCCAAGUCCCGAUGCCGGAGCUGCAGGUUACGUUACAAGUUCUAUGGCUAUGAUCGGAGUGUCAAUUGUAUUGUCAAUGUUUGUGCUUUUGAAGCAUUGA